GUGCAAUUAAAUAAAAAGCGUACCCCGUAACUUUUAAUCAGGGUGUCCGGGGUUCGAGUCCCCGAUGGCUCACCA
rnacentral:tRNA from 1 species